GGGUUAGUAGGUUGGUCAUGCCUCUGGUAUGUACUGGUCUCACUGAUUCCUCCUUCUGGAGAACCACGAUGCCCUUAAUUUGGUGUUUUGGGGAAUUUGGACUGUUACUUUGAAAAAAUUAGAGUGUUUAAAGCAAGCUAACGCUUGAAUACAUUAGCAUGGAAUAAUGAAAUAGGACGUUCGAUCCUAUUUUGUUGGUUUCUAGGAUUGACGUA
rnacentral:rRNA from 1 species